ACGGAGGGUGCAAGCGUUAUCCGGAUUUAUUGGGUUUAAAGGGUUCGCAGGCGGAAAAUUAAGUCAGUGGUGAAAGCCUACAGCUCAACUGUAGAACUGCCAUUGAUACUGAUUUUCUUGAGUAUAGUUGAAGUGGGCGGAAUGUGUCAUGUAGCGGUGAAAUGCAUAGAUAUGACACAGAACACCGAUAGCGAAGGCAGCUCACUAAACUAUUACUGACGCUCAGGAACGAAAGCGUGGGGAGCGAACAGG
rnacentral:rRNA from 1 species